rnacentral:rRNA from 1 species
GGUUAGACGGAAAGACCCCGUGCACCUUUACUACAGCUUCAGAGUGACGUCAGACAUGUCACGUGCAGGAUAGGUGGUGGGCUUUGAAACCGGAACGCUAGUUUCGGUGGAGCCACCCUUGAGAUACCACCCUUGACCUGUUUGGCGUCUAACCGCGAUCCUUGAAUCAGGAUCCGGGACCCUCUGUGGCGGGUAGUUUGACUGGGGCGGUCGCCUCCUAAAGCGUAACGGAGGCGCGCGAAGGUUGGCUCAGAGCGGUCGGAAAUCGCUCGUUGAGUGCAAUGGCAGAAGCCAGCCUGACUGCGAGACUGACAAGUCGAGCAGAGUCGAAAGACGGCCAUAGUGAUCCGGUGGUC